rnacentral:rRNA from 1 species
GAUGAACGCUGGCGGCGUGCCUAAUACAUGCAAGUCGAGCGAAGCGGGGACGGGUGAGUAACACGUGGAUAACCUCCUAUAAGACUGGGAUAACUUCGGGAAACCGGAUCUAACCCGGAUACUCAUAGAUGGAUCCUCGCUGCAUUAGCUCGGUGGUAAGGUAACGGCUUACCAAAGCAACGAUGCAUAGCCGACCCGAGAGUGUGAUCGGCCACACUGGAACUGAGAAACGGUCCAGACUCCUCCAGGAGGCAGACGUAGGGAGUCUUCCGCAAUGGGCGAAAGCCUGACGGCGCAACGCCGCGUGAGUGAUGAAGGUCUUCGGAUCGUAAAACUCUGUUAUUUGGGAAGCGGUACCUAAUCAGAAAGCCACGGCUAACUACGUGCCAGCAGCCGCGGUAAUAC